rnacentral:rRNA from 1 species
GGUUGACCUCGGAUCAGGUAGGGAUACCCGCUGAACUUAAGCAUAUCAAUAAGCGGAGGAAAAGAAACCAACAGGGAUUGCCCCAGUAACGGCGAGUGAAGCGGCAAGAGCUCAAAUUUGAAAGCUGGCUCCUUCGGGGUCCGCAUUGUAAUUUGCAGAGGAUGUUUCGGGAGUGGCCCCCAUCUAAGUGUCCUGGAACGGACCGUCAUAGAGGGUG